rnacentral:rRNA from 1 species
GAACUAGCAUAUCAAUAAGCGGAGGAAAAGAAACCAACAGGGAUUGCCCUAGUAACGGCGAGUGAAGCGGCAACAGCUCAAAUUUGAAAUCUGGCCCUCGGGUCCGAGUUGUAAUUUGUAGAGGAUGCUUUUGGUGCGGUGCCUUCCGAGUUCCUUGGAACAGGACGCCUUAGAGGGUGAGAGCCCCGUACGGUUGGACACCAAGCCUCUGUAAAGCUCCUUCGACGAGUCGAGUAGUUUGGGAAUGCUGCUCUAAAUGGGAGGUAAAUUUCUUCUAAAGCUAAAUACCGGCCAGAGACCGAUAGCGCACAAGUAGAGUGAUCGAAAGAUGAAAAGUACUUUGAAAAGAGGGUUAAAUAGCACGUGAAAUUGUUGAAAGGGAAGCGUUUAUGACCAGACCUUGGCCGGGCGGAUCAUCCGGUGUUCCUCACCGGUGCACUUCGCCCGGCCUAGGCCAGCAUCGGUUUUCGUAGGGGGAUAAAGGCCCCGGGAACGUAGCUCCCUCCGGGGAGUGUUAUAGCCCGGGACGUAAUACCCUUGCGGGGACCGAGGUUCGCGCUCCGGCAAGGAUGCUGGCGUAAUGGUCAUCAACGACCCGUCUUGAAACACGGACCAAGGAGUCGAACAUUUAUGCGAGUGUUUGGGUGUUAAACCCUCACGCGUAAUGAAAGUGAACGGAGGUGAGAGCCCGUACGGGUGCAUCAUCGACCGAUCCUGAUGUCUUCGGAUGGAUUUGAGUAAGAGCAUAACUGUUCGGACCCGAAAGAUGGUGAACUAUGCGUGGAUAGGGUGAAGCCAGAGGAAACUCUGGUGGAGGCUCGCAGCGGUUCUGACGUGCAAAUCGAUCGUCAAAUCUGCGCAUGGGGGCGAAAGACUUAUCGAACCAUCUAG